ensembl:ncRNA DL2.1 ncRNA
GCGAAAAUUGGGAGAGACAACGGCGAAAAAUGAGAGUGUAAAUAGACGCAACCAUUCCCAUACGGCAGUGGUGACACAUAGUGGGGGAGAGGAAGAGGGUCGUAAAUGCGCUCCGCC